rnacentral:rRNA from 1 species
UACAGAGGUCUCAAGCGUUGUUCGGAUUCAUUGGGCGUAAAGGGUGCGUAGGCGGCGCGGUAAGUCGGGCGUGAAAUCUCGGAGCUUAACUCCGAAACUGCAUUCGAUACUGCCGUGCUUGAGGACUGGAGAGGAGACUGGAAUUUACGGUGUAGCGGUGAAAUGCGUAGAUAUCGUAAGGAAGACCAGUGGCGAAGGCGGGUCUCUGGACGGUAACUGACGCUGAGGCACGAAGGCCAGGGGAGCAAACGGG